rnacentral:lncRNA from 1 species
GGAUCAUCACGGAGAACAGUGAUCAAUCCAUUCAAGAUCAGUGCAUGGAUCACCUCCUUUUUGGGUAGAUGAGUCUCGAGUCUGCGGUGUAGAGAUACUGAAAUGAGAGUGCAUGUGGUUGUUAGAGAAUAACUUACAUUGAGCAUGACCAACAUGAGAAACCACUUGGAUGUCUAUUCACUCGUCAGUGAUCUUCUCGAUACUGCAGUGGUGUGACUGGUCCUUUGAUCUGUGGUGUGUUGGCUAUUCACAGCGAGGCUACUUAGUUUGACUGCAUGAUCUCUUGAUCCCUAGUCAUUCAGAUUCUUACUGUAUAUGUUGGCUAUUAUAGGUUUAGAUUCACUG